rnacentral:rRNA from 1 species
UACGAAGGGGGCUAGCGUUGCUCGGAAUUACUGGGCGUAAAGCGCACGUAGGCGGCUUCUUAAGUCGGUGGUGAAAUCCUGGAGCUCAACUCCAGAACUGCCUUCGAUACUGGGAAGCUCGAGUCCGGGAGAGGUGAGUGGGAACUGCGAGUGUAGAGGUGAAAUUCGUAGAAUAUUCGCAAGAACACCAGUGGCGAAGGCGGCUCACUGGCCCGGUACUCGACGCUGAGGUGCGAAAGCGUGGGGAGCA